rnacentral:rRNA from 1 species
AGCGAACGCUGGCGGCAGGCUUAACACAUGCAAGUCGAGCGGGUGUAGCAAUACAUCAGCGGCAGCCGGGUGAGUAACGCGUGAGAACGUACCUUUUGGUUCGGAACAACCCAGGGAAACUUGGGCUAAUACCGGAUAAGCCCUUACGGGGAAAGAGUUAUCGCCGAAAGAUCGGCCCGCGUCUGACUAGCACGUCGGUGAGGAAAUGGCUCAACAAGGCGACGAUCAGUAGAUGGUCUGAGAGGAUGAUCGGCCACAUUGUGACUGAGACACGGCCCAAACUCCUACGAGGGGCAACAGGGGGGAAUAUUGGACAAUGGGGGCAACCUGGGUCCAGGCAUGCCGCGUGAGUGCUGAAGGCACUAGGGUUGUAAAGCGCUUUUGUGCGGGAAGAUAAUGACGGGAGUCGGAGAAGAAGCCGCGGCUAACGUCGUGCCAGCCGCCGCGGUAAGAC